rnacentral:tRNA from 1 species
GGGAACGUAGCUCAGUUGGCAGAGCUUUUGAUAAUUACUUCAAAAGGUCGCAGGUUCGAGUCCUGUCGUUCCAA